GCGGGCAGCUACACAUGCAAGUCGAACGGUAACUUUUGGUGCUUGCACCGAAAGACGAGUGGCGAACGGGUGCGUAACGCGUAUGCAAUCUGCCUUUUACUAGGGUAUAGCCCAGAGAAAUUUGGAUUAAUCCCCUAUAAUAUCAUUUAAUCGCAUGAUUUUAUGAUUAAAGCUUCGGCGGUAAAAGAUGAGCAUGCGUCCUAUUAGUUAGUAGGUGAGGUAACGGCUCACCUAAGCUCCGAUAGGUAGGGGUCCUGAGAGGGAGAUCCCCCACACUGGUACUGAGACACGGACCAGACUUCUACGGAAGGCAGCAGUAAGGAAUAUUGGACAAUGGAGGAAACUCUGAUCCAGCGAUGCCGCGUGAAGGAAGACGGCCCUAUGGGUUGUAAACUUCUUUUAUACAGGAAGAAACCUUUCCACGUGUGGAAAGCUGACGGUACUGUAAGAAUAAGGAUCGGCUAACUCCGUGCCAGCAGCCGCGGUAAUACGGAGGAUCCAAGCGUUAUCCGGAAUUAUUGGGUUUAAAGGGUCCGCAGGCUGUUUGUUAAGUCAGGGGUGAAAUCCUACCGCUCAACGGUAGAACUGCCUUUGAUACUGGCAAACUUGAGUUAUUGUGAAGUAGUUAGAAUGUGUAGUGUAGCGGUGAAAUGCAUAGAUAUUACACAGAAUACCAAUUGCGAAGGCAGAUUACUAACAAUUAACUGACGCUGAGGGACGAAAGCGUGGGUAGCGAACAGGAUUAGAUACCCUGGUAGUCCACGCCGUAAACGAUGGUCACUAGCUGUUCGAUGUACAUUG
rnacentral:rRNA from 1 species